UACGUAGGUGGCGAGCGUUAUCCGGAAUGAUUGGGCGUAAAGGGUGCGUAGGCGGAUCGUUAAGUCAGUGGUCAAAUUGAGGGGCUCAACCCCUUCCCGCCAUUGAAACUGGCGAUCUUGAGUGGAAGAGAAGUAUGCGGAAUGCGUGGUGUAGCGGUGAAAUGCAUAGAUAUCACGCAGAACCCCGAUUGCGAAGGCAGCAUGCCGGCUUCCUACUGACGCUGAAGCACGAAAGCGUGGGGAUCGAACAGG
rnacentral:rRNA from 1 species